rnacentral:rRNA from 1 species
AGUGAACGCUGGCGGUAGGCCUAACACAUGCAAGUCGAACGGCAGCACAGUAAGAGCUUGCUCUUACGGGUGGCGAGUGGCGGACGGGUGAGGAAUACAUCGGAAUCUACUUUUUCGUGGGAGAUAACGUAGGGAAACUUACGCUAAUACCGCAUACGACCUACGGGUGAAAGCAGGGGAUCUUCGGACCUUGCGCGAUUGAAUGAGCCGAUGUCGGAUUAGCUAGUUGGCGGGGUAAAGGCCCACCAAGGCGACGAUCCGUAGCUGGUCUGAGAGGAUGAUCAGCCACACUGGAACUGAGACACGGUCCAGACUCCUACGGGAGGCAGCAGUGGGGAAUAUUGGACAAUGGGCGCAAGCCUGAUCCAGCCAUACCGCGUGGGUGAAGAAGGCCUUCGGGUUGUAAAGCCCUUUGUUGGGAAAGAAAAGCAGCAGGUUAAUACCCCGCUGUUCUGACGGUACCCAAAGAAUAAGCACCGGCUAACUUCGUG